rnacentral:rRNA from 1 species
GAUGAACGCUGGCGGCGUGCCUAAUACAUGCAAGUCGAGCGGUAACACUUCGGGUGACGAGCGGCGGACGGCAGAGUAACGCGUAGGAAUGUACCCCAAACUGAGGGAUAAGCACUGGAAACAGUGUCUAAUACCGCAUAUGCUCCAAGGAGUAAAGCUUCGGCGGUUUGGGAACGGCCUGCGUAUGAUUAGCUUGUUGGUGAGGUAAUAGCUCACCAAGGCGACGAUCAUUAGCUGGUCUGAGAGGAUGAUCAGCCUGACUGGGACUGA